GGGGGUCCUCCACCACCACCACUCACAGAGGCUGAGCAGUUGGCCCUCAGCCAAAACAGUGGGCGCCCUGUGGCUGAAGGCAUCUCUGCGGGGACAUCCUCUGAGUCAAUAACCCCGCAAGACACAAGUGCCUACAUAAGAGUUGAUGGUGAUGGUGUACUGCAUCUGGUGCAGCCUCCUGUUGAGCCAGACCAACAUGCAGUUGAAAAUAAUGAAGAAACAUUGACAGCUGUUACAGAGGAGGAAGCAACAGAGACACU